UGCCUCCUGCGAGGCACGAGUGGCCGAGACGAUUCCUGAACCAAUACUGUCUAUCCAGGGAGUCCCCAGUCAUCAUCGUGGUGUGCAGCUCCCUAGCGGAGUAGCCUGAAGCGAUGUGUGGAUUCCCACCUGUUCAUCAGGUUCUGGGGGUAGCGGGCCGCACGACCAUCGCGGGAGGUUU
rfam:Acidithiobacillus thiooxidans strain A02 contig011, whole genome shotgun sequence.